UACAGAGGGUGCGAGCGUUAAUCGGAAUUACUGGGCGUAAAGCGCGCGUAGGCGGCUUUGCAAGCCAGAUGUGAAAUCCCCGGGCUUAACCUGGGAACUGCAUUGGUGACUGGCAGGCUUUGAGUGUGGCAGAGGGAGGUAGAAUUCCACGUGUAGCAGUGAAAUGCGUAGAGAUGUGGAGGAAUACCGAUGGCGAAGGCAGCCUCCUGGGCCAACACUGACGCUCAUGCACGAAAGCGUGGGGAGCAAACAGG
rnacentral:rRNA from 1 species